rnacentral:rRNA from 1 species
CCACACUGGAACUGAGACACGGUCCAGACUCCUACGGGAGGCAGCAGUGGGGAAUAUUGCACAAUGGGCGCAAGCCUGAUGCAGCCAUGCCGCGUGUGUGAAGAAGGCCUUCGGGUUGUAAAGCACUUUCAGUCGUGAGGAAGGUUUAUGCGUUAAUAGCGUCUAGAUUUGACGUUAGCGACAGAAGAAGCACCGGCUAACUCCGUGCCAGCAGCCGCGGUAAUACGGAGGGUGCGAGCGUUAAUCGGAAUUACUGGGCGUAAAGCGCAUGCAGGUGGUUUGUUAAGUCAGAUGUGAAAGCCCGGGGCUCAACCUCGGAAUAGCAUUUGAAACUGGCAGACUAGAGUACUGUAGAGGGGGGUAGAAUUUCAGGUGUAGCGGUGAAAUGCGUAGAGAUCUGAAGGAAUACCGGUGGCGAAG